rnacentral:rRNA from 1 species
UGGGGAAUUUUGCACAAUGGGGGAAACCCUGAUGCAGCGACGCCGCGUGAUUUAGAAGGCCUUCGGGUUGUAAAAAUCUUUUCUAUGGGAAGAAAAUGACAGUACCAUAGGAAUAAGGACCGGCUAAUUACGUGCCAGCAGCCGCGGUAAUACGUAAGGUCCGAGCGUUGUCCGGAAUCAUUGGGCGUAAAGGGUACGUAGGCGGGUAAGCAAGUUAGAAGUGAAAUCCUAUAGCUCAACUAUAGUAAGCUUUUAAAACUGCUCAUCUUGAAGUAUGGAAGAGAAAGUGGAAUUCCUAGUGUAGCGGUGAAAUGCGCAGAUAUUAGGAGGAAUACCGGUGGCGAAGGCGACUUUCUGGCCAUAACCUGACGCUGAGGUACGAAAGCGUGGGUAGCAAACAGG